rnacentral:rRNA from 1 species
GUGAAGGACGGGCCUGGAGUCGGUGUAAGAUGGAGGAGGGGAGCUUUGUUCGGGUUUACUGGGCGGAAAGGGUGGGGAGUCGGUUUUCUAAGUUUGGUGUGAAAUCUCCCGGCUCAACCGGGAGGGUGCGCCGAAAACUGGGAGACUAGAGUGCGGGAUGGGAGAGUAGAAUUCCUUGUGUAGCGGUGAAAUGCGUAGAUAUCAGGAGGAAUACCGGUGGUGUAGACGGCUCUCUGGACCGCCACUGACGCUGAGACACGAAAGCGUGGGUAGCAAACAGGAUUAGAUACCCGAGUAGUC